rnacentral:rRNA from 1 species
AAAGGAAUGCCACAGAGGGUGAUAGCCCCGUACGGUGUUGACUCGAUACAGAGUCCUAACAUGGAGUCGAGUUGUUUGGGAAUGCAGCUCAAAUGGGUGGUAUGCUCCAUCUAAGGCUAAAUAUUUGCGAGAGACCGAUAGCGAACAAGUACUGUGAAGGAAAGAUGAAAAGAACUUUGAAAAGAGAGUGAAAUAGUACGUGAAAUUGUUGAAAUGGAAGGGUAGGCCGCUAACCAUGUAGGACCGUGUUUGGGGGGAAGAUAAAUGCUGUAGAA